UAACCUGCCCAAGAGAUCGGGAUAACACCUGGAAACAGAUGCUAAUACCGGAUAACAACAGAUGAUGCCUAUCAACUGUUUAAAAGAUGGUUCUGCUAUCACUCUUGGAUGGACCUGCGGUGCAUUAGCUAGUUGGUAGGGUAACGGCCUACCAAGGCGAUGAUGCAUAGCCGAGUUGAGAGACUGAUCGGCCACAUUGGACUGAGACACGGCCCAAACUCCUACGGGAGGCAGCAGCG
rnacentral:rRNA from 1 species